GCUAAUACCGGAUAAUAUUUUGAACCGCAUGGUUCAAAAGUGAAAGACGGUCUUGCUGUCACUUAUAGAUGGAUCCGCGCUGCAUUAGCUAGUUGGUAAGGUAACGGCUUACCAAGGCAACGAUGCAUAGCCGACCUGAGAGGGUGAUCGGCCACACUGGAACUGAGACACGGUCCAGACUCCUACGGGAGGCAGCAGUAGGGAAUCUUCCGCAAUGGGCGAAAGCCUGACGGAGCAACGCCGCGUGAGUGAUGAAGGUCUUCGGAUCGUAAAACUCUGUUAUUAGGGAAGAACAUAUGUGUAAGUAACUGUGCACAUCUUGACGGUACCUAAUCAGAAAGCCACGGCUAACUACGUGCCAGCAGCCGCGGUAAUACGUAGGUGGCAAGCGUUAUCCGGAAUUAUUGGGCGUAAAGCGCGCGUAGGCGGUUUUAAGUCUGAUGUGAAAGCCCACGGCUCAACCGUGGAGGGUCAUUGGAAACUGGCAAAAACUUGAGUGCAGAAGAGGAAAGUGGAAUUCCAUGUGUAGCGGUGAAAUGCGCAGAGAUAUGGAGGAACACCAGUGGCGAAGGCGACUUUCUGGUCUGUAACUGACGCUGAUGUGCGAAAGCGUGGGGAUCAAACAGGAUUAGAUACCCUGGUAGUCCACGCCGUAAACGAUGAGUGCUAAGUGUUAGGGGGUUUCCGCCCCUUAGUGCUGCAGCUAACGCAUUAAGCACUCCGCCUGGGGAGUACGACCGCAAGGUUGAAACUCAAAGGAAUUGACGGGGACCCGCACAAGCGGUGGAGCAUGUGGUUUAAUUCGAAGCAACGCGAAGAACCUUACCAAAUCUUGACAUCCUUUGACAACUCUAGAGAUAGAGCCUUCCCCUUCGGGGGACAAAGUGACAGGUGGUGCAUGGUUGUCGUCAGCUCGUGUCGUGAGAUGUUGGGUUAAGUCCCGCAACGAGCGCAACCCUUAAGCUUAGUUGCCAUCAUUAAGUUGGGCACUCUAAGUUGACUGCCGGUGACAAACCGGAGGAAGGUGGGGAUGACGUCAAAUCAUCAUGCCCCUUAUGAUUUGGGCUACACACGUGCUACAAUGGACAAUAUAAAGGGCAGCGAAACCGCGAGGUCAAGCAAAUCCCAUAAAGUUGUUCUCAGUUCGGAUUGUAGUCUGCAACUCGACUACAUGAAGCUGGAAUCGCUAGUAAUCGUAGAUCAGCAUGCUACGGUGAAUACGUUCCCGGGUCUUGUACACACCGCCCGUCACACCACGAGAGUUUGUAACACCC
rnacentral:rRNA from 1 species